CCGGUCAAUCAGCGGGGAGAACGCCUACCCGCAAGGUUAGGUUGUCCCCCGCGGGCGCAGGGCCGAUUAGCGCCGAUUUGCCUUUGGCACCAAUUUCAGGACGAGCGCAGGGCAGCAAGAUCCAACGCAGAUCCCGGCGGGAAAGGCAGGGCUGUAAAUCUCCACAGAACUGAAUGAGCUGGGAGAUCUAACCAGGCACAGAAUCUGUGAGCAUUUUCCCUAUUAAGCUGAGCCAGGCUCGAUAUUGCCUGGUUGUCAGUGCAAUCAAAGCUGACGUGCUGGGUUACCCUCCACCCAAACUGCAAGCCUGUCCAGUGCAAGCAUUCUCCAGCCAAGGAAUCGCACUGCAUUAGCAGCAUUCUAAAUGAUGCUUGCCUUCCAAGUCUCCACAACUUGAGCUCCCCAUGCAGCUGAUAAUGUGUCUCCAAUCACUGGAAUGGUGGUCACCCAGCGAGCUGCUUUAAGAAAACAAUUACAGUUAUCAAAAAUGAAAGAAAUGGUACUUAAGUGCUUUAGUUUUCCUUCAGGCAUUGAAAGUGCUUAACACCUCAAUCAAUAUUAUAAACCUUUACAAUCAUUUCAAAGAUUAUUUGUCCUCGAGGUUCUUGCCAGCUGCUUAUUCUUUGAAUUCAGUUGUCAUUCCACCCUCCUGUUCUCUCCAAUGCUUUUGGUAGACAUUAUUAUUUUGUUUUGGCUUUUGAUAUUGACUGGUUAAGUGGUUUGCCAAUAGUGUACUAUGGUUGUAUCUUUGCCAGAAGACUCAAUAUGCUAACUGGCCUUACUCUUACCAUGUCAUAUAUCUGGAAAAUCUUUCAGACAGCAUCAUCUGCAACUUUGUGUUGAACUAAGACUGUGUACGAUUAUAAUGCUUUAUCUUAGUGGCUAGUAUACUUUGAUGAACACAAAUGUAAAA